CCUACGGGUGGCUGCAGUGAGGAAUAUUGGUCAAUGGCCGGAAGGCUGAACCAGCCAAGUCGCGUGAGGGACGACUGCCCUCUGGGUUGUAAACCUCUUUUAUAAGGGAAGAAUAAAUGCUACGUGUAGCAUGAUGCCUGUACCUUAUGAAUAAGCAUCGGCUAACUCCGUGCCAGCCGCCGCGGUAAUAGGGAGGAUGCGAGCGUUAUCCGGAUUUAUUGGGUUUAAAGGGUGUGUAGGCGGUUUGUUAAGUUAGUGGUUAAACGCCGGGGCUUCACCUUGAUUUGUCAUUAAUACUGUAAGACUCGAGUUCAGACGAGGUAGGCAGAAUAAGUUAUGUAGCGGUGAAAUGCUUAGAUAUAAGGUAGAAUUCCGAUAGCGAAGGCAGCUUACCAGACUGCGACUGACGCUGAAGCACGAGAGCGUGGGUAGCGAACAGGAUUAGAUACCCUUGUAGUC
rnacentral:rRNA from 1 species